GGAAUAUUGGUCAAUGGGUGAGAGCCUGAACCAGCCAUGCCGCGUGCAGGAAGACGGCCUUCUGGGUUGUACACUGCUUUUGUCAGGGGCUAAAACGCCCAUGCGUGGGAGAUUGAAAGUACCUGACGAAUAAGCCACGGCUAACUACGUGCCACCAGCCGCGGUAAUACGUAGGGGGGGAGCGUUGUCAGGAUUUAUUGGGUUUAAAGGGUGCGUAGGCGGCUUAUUAAGUCAGUGCUGAAAUAUCCCGGCUUAACCGGGAGGGUGGCAUUGAUACUGAUGAGCUUGAGUACAGAUGAGGUAGGCGGAAUUGACGGUGUAGCGGUGAAAUGCAUAGAUAUCGUCAAGAACACCGAUAGCGAAGGCAGCUUACUAAGUUGUAACUGACGCUGAUGCACGAAAGUGUGGGGAUCAAAC
rnacentral:rRNA from 1 species